CGUCCCCUCGGACCUUGAAAAUCCGGGAGAGGGCUACGCGGAGGUGUCGCGCCGGUUCGUACCCAUAUCCGCAGCAGGUCUCCAAGGUGAGGAGCCUCUAGUCGAUAGACUAAUGUAGGUAAGGGAAGUCGGCAAAUUGGAUCCGUAACUUCGGGAUAAGGAUUGGCUCUGAGGACCGGGGCGCGUCGGGCGUGGUCGGGAAGCGGGCCUGUGCCAACGAGCCGGGCCUGGGCGAGGCGAUGCCGCCCGGCAACGGGCGCGCGGAUCCGAGCUCGGUCCCGUGCCUUGGCCUCCCGCGGAUCUUCCACGCUGCGAGGGGCCGCGCUAGCUCGCGGCGUACUCUUCGGCCGCCACUCAACGGUCGACUCAGAACUGGCACGGACUUGGGGAAUCCGACUGUCUAAUUAAAACAAAGCAUUGCGAGGGCCCUAGCGGGUGUUGACGCAAUGUGAUUUCUGCCCAGUGCUCUGAAUGUCAAAGUGAAGAAAUUCAAGCAAGCGCGGGUAAACGGCGGGAGUAACUAUGACUCUCUUGGGGGAUGCCUCCGGCCCCCAACCCUAGGUCUUCAAGGCCUAGGGCACUGCCUAGGUCCGGUUUACCACCUGAGAGUCGGGCAACGGAUGGUUCCAUCCGGCUAAAGGUCAGCGGAGUAAAAAGGACCGAGGGUUAACCGCCCUUGGAACGAUCCUUAAAACGGUUUUCAAUACUUAUAGUGAAGCCUCGGACUUCGAAGAGCAAGGCCCCGCUCUUCGUCGUAGGCUACGGCCACUCCAGGGGGCUAAUUAUACUGACAAUCUGCCUGUCGAAGGUUGUUCUCUUGACGGCCUGCCCACCGUCACAAGCGAAUAUCUGGUGUAUCUCCCCUUUAAUCCUUACACUUGCCCUAUAUGUCUCCAUAGUGGCACGGGGAGAUACCUUGCAUUGAGCUUGAGUGACUGUCUCCUGCAUCACAAGGAGAAGCAUGCAGCAAUGGAACUGGUUUUCCAGUGUUCAGAUUGCGAUAAGCAAUAUAUCAGGAAGCAUGCUGCUCUGU
rnacentral:ncRNA from 1 species